rnacentral:rRNA from 1 species
CGUGAGUAACCUGCCCUUGACUCUGGGAUAAGCGCUGGAAACGGCGUCUAAUACCGGAUACGAGCUUCAGCCGCAUGGCUAGGAGUUGGAAAGAAUUUCGGUCAAGGAUGGACUCGCGGCCUAUCAGCUAGUUGGUGAGGUAAUGGCUCACCAAGGCGACGACGGGUAGCCGGCCUGAGAGGGUGACCGGCCACACUGGGACUGAGACACGGCCCAGACUCCUACGGGAGGCAGCAGUGGGGAAUAUUGCACAAUGGGCGCAAGCCUGAUGCAGCAACGCCGCGUGAGGGACGACGGCCUUCGGGUUGUAAACCUCUUUUAGUAGGGAAGAAGCGAAAGUGACGGUACCUGCAGAAAAAGCACCGGCUAACUACGUGCCAGCAGCCGCGGUAAUACGUAGGGUGCAAGCGUUGUCCGGAAUUAUUGGGCGUAAAGAGCUCGUAGGCGGUUUGUCGCGUCUGCUGUGAAAUCUGGGGGCUCAACC